CACGUUGAUGGUUUUGCUGUAUAGCUUGUUUUGAGUAUCCGAGGUAUGCAAGGGGCAAGUAGGCUGCCUCUCGCUUGGCCCAGGGGCGCUGGUCCCGUUCGGGGGCUGUGCGUAGGGCUCCCUCCUCACUUUGCUGCUUGUGUGGGGGUUACUCACGUGAUGGGUGAUGGUCUAGGUUUGCUUUGAGAGUGUCUCUCACGUGUCAUGGCACCUUGAGCAAGCAAGUGCCAAGGCUGUGCUUUGGGUUUGCCGGGGAAGUAGCUUAGCAUGAGCUACUUAGGUCUGAGGUGUUUUUCAAUGUGAGUGUUUUUGUAUCAUUGAUGAAGGUUUGCCCUGUUAGCCUAUAAAGGCUUUGCUCGGGUCUGCAGCAUGUGCUGUGGUUUCCAGGCAAAUUAAUGCAGUCCAUAAAAAAUAUGUGCGGCCCUGGCUAACGCCGUGCUGUUUCCCCCCCCCGCAGAUUGCAUGAUGAACAUUCACAAACGCUGCGUGGGCAAUGUACCCAGCCUCUGUGGCAUAGACCACCUGGAACGGAGCGAGCGAUCGGUGUCUUGAUCAAGAACAGCAUGCUGCACGUCUCCGGUCUCGCAUAGUAACAGGACAGAAUUCUAAGCUUCUGCUACUGCCUAGUGGGGGAAUAAAUGCAAAACACAGCUGAAGAUGGAAGUGAAGCCCCCCAGAUACUGUUGCACAUCCACUAACAGACCGGAAGACCACUGCAGCGCCAGUUUUAUAUGACAGAUUUUUUUGCUAUCUGCUACAUUCUAAUCGAUUAAUGUGCAAAAAAAAAAAACAGUAAUUUUUACAGUUUAAUUUUUACACUUGUUUAAGUAGCAUGUAUGGGAAUACUACACCCUCUGCCAAUUAAUGAGUUUUAAAUAACAUUGUACCGUUAAGGAAUGAUUGCUUAAAGGAAGGUAUGUCUUUCUACGUAGGUUAUGCUACUGCUAUAUAAUGUCUGUUUAACUCAAAUUUCUCUGAGACGAUGCUAAAUAUUAAUGGAAAGGGUUAAGAAACACUAUUUCGAUGUCUACCUUGUUUGUUGGUAUUUCCUCUGUGUUCUUGACACAGUACUUUAACAGUCAUUGCAAAUACUGACUUACUGUCUAUCAGUUAUGAUUAUGGUGUUCAUGUGCAUUUUUUAAUUCAUACCUCUUACAAUGUAAUGUAUAAUCAGUCACGCACUUGUAUCUUGUAAGUUGACAUAUAGCCUGAAAUAUAGCCUUAAUUUCAUUACAACCAUAUGACCAAAAUGUUUUUUUCCCCUUCAUUUUCACAUGGUUUUGGACAAUAAAAAGUCUUCCUUUUCAAUA